UUAAGCGACUAAGCGUACACGGUGGAUGCCCUGGCAGUCAGAGGCGAUGAAGGACGUGCUAAUCUGCGAAAAGCGUCGGUAAGGUGAUAUGAACCGUUAUAACCGGCGAUGUCCGAAUGGGGAAACCCAGUGCAAUUCGUUGCACUAUCGUUAACUGAAUACAUAGGUUAACGAGGCGAACCGGGGGAACUGAAACAUCUAAGUACCCCGAGGAAAAGAAAUCAACCGAGAUUCCCCCAGUAGCGGCGAGCGAACGGGGAGCAGCCCAGAGUCUGAAUCAGCUUGUGUGUUAGUGGAACGGUCUGGAAAGUCCGACGGUACAGGGUGAUAGUCCCGUACACCAAAAUGCACAGGUUGUGAACUCGAAGAGUAGGGCGGGACACGUGGUAUCCUGUCUGAAUAUGGGGGGACCAUCCUCCAAGGCUAAAUACUCCUGACUGACCGAUAGUGAACCAGUACCGUGAGGGAAAGGCGAAAAGAACCCCGGCGAGGGGAGUGAAAAAGAACCUGAAACCGUGUACGUACAAGCAGUGGGAGCACCUUCGGGUGUGACUGCGUACCUUUUGUAUAAUGGGUCAGCGACUUAUAUUCUGUAGCAAGGUUAACCGUAUAGGGGAGCCGCAGGGAAACCGAGUCUUAACUGGGCGUUAAGUUGCAGGGUAUAGACCCGAAACCCGGUGAUCUAAGCCAUGGCAGGUUGAAGGUUGGGUAACACUAACUGGGAGGACCGAACCGACUAAUGUUGAAAAAAUUAGCGGAUGACUUGUGGCUGGGGGUGAAAGGCCAAUCAAACCGGGAGAUAGCUUGGUUCUCCCCGAAAGCUAUUUAGGUAGCGCCUCGUGAACUCAUCUUCGGGGGUAGAGCACUGUUUCGGCUAGGGGGGUCAUCCCGACUUACCAACCCGAUGCAAACUACGAAUACCGAAGAAUGUUAUCACGGGAGACACACGGCGGGUGCUAACGUCCGUCGUGAAGAGGGAAACAACCCAGACCGCCAGCUAAGGUCCCAAAGUCAUGGUUAAGUGGGAAACGAUGUGGGAAGGCACAGACAGCCAGGGAUGUUGGCUUAGAAGCAGCCAUCAUUUAAAGAAAGCGUAAUAGCUCACUGGUCGAGUCGGCCUGCGCGGAAGAUUGUAACGGGGCUAAACCAUGCACCGAAGCUGCGGCAGCGACACUAUGUGUUGUUGGGUAGGGGAGCGUUCUGUAAAGCCUGCGAAGGUGACCUGUGAGGGUUGCUGGAGGUAUCAGAAGUGCGAAUGCUGACAUAAGUAACGAUAAAGCGGGUGAAAAGCCCGCUCGCCGGAAGACCAAGGGUUCCUGUCCAACGUUAAUCGGGGCAGGGUGAGUCGACCCCUAAGGCGAGGCCGAAAGGCGUAGUCGAUGGGAAACAGGUUAAUAUUCCUGUACUUGGUGUUACUGCGAAGGGGGGGACGGAGAAGGCUAUGUUAGCCGGGCGACGGUUGUCCCGGUUUAAGCAUGUAGGCUGGUUGUCCAGGCAAAUCCGGAUAAUCAAGGCUGAGGUGUGAUGACGAGGCACUACGGUGCUGAAGUAACAAAUGCCCUGCUUCCAGGAAAAGCCUCUAAGCAUCAGGUAACAUUAAAUCGUACCCCAAACCGACACAGGUGGUCAGGUAGAGAAUACCAAGGCGCUUGAGAGAACUCGGGUGAAGGAACUAGGCAAAAUGGUGCCGUAACUUCGGGAGAAGGCACGCUGGUGUGUAGGUGAAGCCCCUGCGGGUGGAGCUGAGACCAGUCGAAGAUACCAGCUGGCUGCAACUGUUUAUUAAAAACACAGCACUGUGCAAACACGAAAGUGGACGUAUACGGUGUGACGCCUGCCCGGUGCCGGAAGGUUAAUUGAUGGGGUUAUCCGUAAGGAGAAGCUCUUGAUCGAAGCCCGGUAAACGGCGGCCGUAACUAUAACGGUCCUAAGGUAGCGAAAUUCCUUGUCGGGUAAGUUCCGACCUGCACGAAUGGCGUAAUGAUGGCCAGGCUGUCUCCACCCGAGACUCAGUGAAAUUGAACUCGCUGUGAAGAUGCAGUGUACCCGCGGCAAGACGGAAAGACCCCGUGAACCUUUACUAUAGCUUGACACUGAACAUUGAGCCUUGAUGUGUAGGAUAGGUGGGAGGCUUUGAAGCGUGGACGCCAGUCUGCGUGGAGCCAACCUUGAAAUACCACCCUUUAAUGUUUGAUGUUCUAACGUUGGCCCCUUAUCGGGGUUGCGGACAGUGUCUGGUGGGUAGUUUGACUGGGGCGGUCUCCUCCCAAAGCGUAACGGAGGAGCACGAAGGUUAGCUAAUCCUGGUCGGACAUCAGGAGGUUAGUGCAAUGGCAUAAGCUAGCUUGACUGCGAGCGUGACGGCGCGAGCAGGUGCGAAAGCAGGUCAUAGUGAUCCGGUGGUUCUGAAUGGAAGGGCCAUCGCUCAACGGAUAAAAGGUACUCCGGGGAUAACAGGCUGAUACCGCCCAAGAGUUCAUAUCGACGGCGGUGUUUGGCACCUCGAUGUCGGCUCAUCACAUCCUGGGGCUGAAGUAGGUCCCAAGGGUAUGGCUGUUCGCCAUUUAAAGUGGUACGCGAGCUGGGUUUAGAACGUCGUGAGACAGUUCGGUCCCUAUCUGCCGUGGGCGCUGGAGAAUUGAGGGGGGCUGCUCCUAGUACGAGAGGACCGGAGUGGACGCAUCACUGGUGUUCGGGUUGUCAUGCCAAUGGCACUGCCCGGUAGCUAAAUGCGGAAGAGAUAAGUGCUGAAAGCAUCUAAGCACGAAACUUGCCCCGAGAUGAGUUCUCCCUGAGACUUUAAGUCUCCUGAAGGAACGUUGAAGACGACGACGUUGAUAGGCCGGGUGUGUAAGCGCAGCGAUGCGUUGAGCUAACCGGUACUAAUGAACCGUGAGGCUUAACCUU
rnacentral:rRNA from 1 species